GCUCAGGUUGGAAACCGGGGCAUUCGUUCCGGGUUGUGGCCUGCAGGCAAGGUGCUAUCGGCGGCUUGUGCGUAAGACUCUUGGAAUGGAGCGUGCGUCCGGGUGAGAAUCCUGCGUUUCGCGCAAUGUCCGCUGUCCACAGCCCUUGUUCUCAGAGUCACGCUCCUCGGAAUUGGAGCGUAAAUAAGGUGGUAAAUUUCAUCUAAAGCUAAAUAGGGGCUUGAGACCGAUAGCGAACAAGUACCAUGAGGGAAAGAUGAAAAGGACUUUGGAAAGAGAGUUAAAAGUGUUUGAAAUCGCUGAAAGGGAAGCGAAUGGAACCACAGAUCUUGCUGAGAUUGCUGUGGGCCUUUGUGAGCUUUGGGCGUGACAGCGCAAGCGUCGCGCUCAUGUGUGAACAACUGCCCGCAGUGUUUCUUAGCUUGCGCGUCACUUGCCACGUCUGUUUGAGGACGGCCUUCAGCUCACAAGUUGCAUCUGCGGGUGUUUCUUCGGGCUGUUAGGGACUCAGACAGGUGCGGCUGGUUGGCUCAAUGGUUUUUUUCGACCCGUCUUGAAACACGGACCAAGGAGUCUAGCACGCCUGCGAGUUCUUGGGUAGCAAGCCUAACGGCGUAAUGAAGGUGACUGCUGGGAUUUUGCACCGGCAACCGACCGAUCAAUUAGGAGAAGUUUGAGUUUGAGCAUGUGUGUUAGGACCCGAAAGAUGGUGAACUAU
rnacentral:rRNA from 1 species